AUGAAGUUGGAAUCACUAGUAAUCGUGGAUCAGCAUGCCACGGUGAAUACGUUCCCGGGCCUUGUACACACCGCCCGUCACACCAUGAGAGUUUGUAACACCCAAAGACGAUGGGGUAACCUUUUAGGAGCUAGUCGUCUAAGGUGGGACAGAUGAUUAGGGUGAAGUCGUAACAAGGUAGCCGUAGGAGAACCUGCGGCUGGAUCACCUCCUUUCUAAGGAAAUUUCGGAAACUUACAUUAGGUUCAUCAAUCUUAUUCAGUUUUGAGAGGUUUACCUCUCUACUUGGUUCUUUGAAAACUAGAUAUU
rnacentral:rRNA from 1 species